rnacentral:rRNA from 1 species
AGAAUCAACGCUGGCGGCGUGCCUAACACAUGCAAGUCGCACGAGAAAGGGACUUCGGUCCUGAGUACAGUGGCGCACGGGUGAGUAACACGUGACUAACCUACCCUGGAGUGGGGAAUAACUGAGGGAAACCUUAGCUAAUACCGCAUAAUACCUACGGGUCAAAGGAGCAAUUCGCUUCAGGAGGGGGUCGCGGCCGAUUAGCUAGUUGGCGGGGUAAUGGCCCACCAAGGCAAUGAUCGGUA